AGUGGGGAAUAUUGCACAAUGGGCGAAAGCCUGAUGCAGCAACGCCGCGUGAGUGAUGAAGGCCUUCGGGUCGUAAAACUCUGUCCUCAAGGAAGAUAAUGACGGUACUUGAGGAGGAAGCCCCGGCUAACUACGUGCCAGCAGCCGCGGUAAUACGUAGGGGGCUAGCGUUAUCCGGAUUUACUGGGCGUAAAGGGUGCGUAGGCGGUCUUUCAAGUCAGGAGUGAAAGGCUACGGCUCAACCGUAGUAAGCUCUUGAAACUGGGAGACUUGAGUGCAGGAGAGGAGAGUGGAAUUCCUAGUGUAGCGGUGAAAUGCGUAGAUAUUAGGAGGAACACCAGUUGCGAAGGCGGCUCUCUGGACUGUAACUGACGCUGAGGCACGAAAGCGUGGGGAGCAAACAGGAUUAGAUACCCUGGUAGUCCACGCUGUAAACGAUGAGUACUAGGUGUCGGGGGUUACCCCCUUCG
rnacentral:rRNA from 1 species